rnacentral:rRNA from 1 species
CAAUGCGAUCCUACCAGCACUAAAGCACCGGAUCCCAUCAGAACUCUGAAGUUAAGCGUGCUUGGGCGAGAGUAUUAUUAGAAUGGGUGACCUCCUAGGAAGUCCUCGUGUUGCAUUCC